rnacentral:tRNA from 2 species
GCCAAGGUGGCAGAGUCUGGUAUAACGCGUCCGCCUGCAGAGCGGAUCGCCGCCGGUUCAAAUCCGGCCCUUGGCU